UGGGUAGUCCGUACGAGCGCACCUUGUCCCUAGUUGCCAGCACUUCGGGUGGGAACUCUAGGGAGACUGCCGGUGAUAAACCGGAGGAAGGUGGGGAUGACGUCAAGUCAUCAUGGCCCUUAUGGGGAGGGCUACACACGUGCUACAAUGGCCGGUACAGAGGGCUGCGAAGCCGCGAGGUGGAGCGAAUCUCAGAAAACCGGUCGUAGUCCGGAUUGCAGUCUGCAACUCGACUGCAUGAAGCCGGAAUCGCUAGUAAUCGCGGAUCAGAACGCCGCGGUGAAUACGUUCCCGGGCCUUGCACACACCGCCCGUCACACCAUGGGAGUGGGCUGUACCAGAAGUAGGUAGUCUAACCUUCGGGAGGACGCUUACCACGGUGUGGUUCAUGACUGGGGUGAAGUCGUAACAAGGUAGCCCUAGGGGAACCUGGGGCUGGAUCACCUCCUUU
rnacentral:rRNA from 1 species